CAUUAAUAUUUCAGGCCCCUCUUCUAUGGAACCAGCUUCCAAUUUGGAUUCAGGAGACAGACACUAUCUCUACUUUUAAGAUUAGGCUUAAAACUUUCCUUUUUGCUGUAGUACUGUCAUGGUUCUCAAAAUCUGGAGAGGUCGUGGUGUGUGUUUUUGUCUUCGCCUCUCCCACCAGGGCAGAACUGGACCUUGAUUCCCCGCCUCUGAACCCGCCCUGAACACACACCUGUGGCUCAUUCACACUGAUGCUGGCAGACUACUUAAGAUGGCAAGAGAGGCUGCUUCCUCGCUGAAUUGUCACACUACCUAGCGUCAGUGUAGCCUAGCCUUUUGAGUAUUCGUUGUGAAUACCUAGAGUUGUGAAUACCUAGAGUUUCCUCCUAACGUUGUUUUCCUCUGUGUACAGGCCUUCUAGAUUCCCUGCCCAUCUUACAUGCCGUCUUGGUUCCUGUGGAUGUGUGUGAGUGAGCAUGAGCAUUUUGGAGUGGACUAUCUGACAUGUCUUUUAUCCUGUCUUCCUUCUCUCACCCCAACCGGUCACAGCAGACAGCCGCCUCUCUGGCCGAUCCUAUACAUUAUUGUAAGUAAAAUUUAUUUAUAUAGCACUUUUCGCAGAUAAAAUCACAAAGUGCUUUACAACAAAGAAAAUGAAAAAUGAAAAGAAUGGAAAUACAACAAAUAACAAUGUAAAACAGUAAAAUGCAACAAAUUAAUUAAAAGCUUGCCUAUAUAAAAAUGUCUUCAGCUGCUUUUUAAAAGAAUCAAUGGAGUCUGUACAGUGCAAAACCAGUGGGAGAGAAUUCCACAACCUUGGUGCCACUGCCUGAAAGGCCCGAUCACCAUGAGUUUUAAAUUGAGUGCGUGGGGCCACCAACAGUCUCUGACCUGAUGACCUUAGAGCUCGGGAAGAAGAAUGCAGUUUCAGCAGGUCAGAUAUGUACUGGGGGGCUUGACCAUGUAGGGCCCUAAAGGUUAAAACUAAAAUUUUAAAAUGAAACCUUCAGCCAGUGAAGGGAGGCCAAAACUGGAGUGAUAUGAGAUCUUCCCUUGGUGCCUGUUAAGAGUCGUGCUGCAGCAUUCUGCACAGUCUGAAGACAAUUUAAAGAUCGUUUGUAAACAAGUAAAAAGACCAUUACAGUCUAAACGUGAAGAAAUAAAAGCAUGAAUAAUCAUCUCUAGUUCAGGCUUUGACACCAUUAGUCUGAGUUUUGAAAUAUUCCUUAAAUGAUAAAAAAAGUUCUGGACCAGCCGCUUAGAAUACUGCUCAAUUGACAUCGAGCUGUCAAAUAUGACACCGAGGUUUCUAAGGCUUGAUUUUACAUAGGGGUCUAAGAAGCUGAUAUGCUGCCUAAUUUCUGUUGUCAUUUAACCAUUGCUUAAUUUCUGUCAGGCAAUUACUUAAACUAGACAAUUUAUAAAACUCAGAGACUUUAAAAGAACA